rnacentral:tRNA from 1 species
GAGGGUAUAGCUCAAGUGGCAGAGCACAUGCUUAGCAUACACAAGGUCCUGGGUUCAAUCCCCAGUACCUCUU